GCCUGUCCUACAACCGAUAAUCCACGAUCAACCUCACCCACCUUUGCAACAACAGUCUAUAUACCUCCGUCGCCAGCCCGCCUGAAAACAGAAACGCAGCGGGUACAACAGCUCAUCACUAAGACGACAGGUCAAGGUGUAACUAAUAGGUUGGGCAGAGAUGGGCUACAUUUCCUAAUAUAGAAAAUACCUACCCCGCCAUGAAACCUGCGCAAAAAGGUGGAUUUAGCAGUAAGUCAGACAAGAAAAGCCUGCCUGAAACCCGCCCUGAAAUGUGU
rnacentral:rRNA from 1 species